UACAGAGGGUGCAAGCGUUGUUCGGAAUUAUUGGGCGUAAAGCGCGUGUAGGCGGCUUUGCAAGUCGGGUGUGAAAGCCCUCGCUCAACCGAGGAAGUGCGCCCGAAACUGCAGAGCUUGAGUACCGGAGAGGAUGGCGGAAUUCCCCAAGUAGAGGUGAAAUUCGUUGAUAUGGGGAGGAACACCGGUGGCGAAGGCGGCCAUCUGGACGGAUACUGACGCUGAGACGCGAAAGCGUGGGUAGCAAACAGG
rnacentral:rRNA from 1 species